AUGGUGAUUCCCGCCACCUGGACCAUGGAGGUCGAAGACGGCCAACGGAGUGAGCGCAUCCAGCGCCUGGGCCGCGCACCGGUGGCCGACCUGGGCUGUCGGGGCGCGCCGCGCAACAGGCGCAACCACGACGACGACGUGGGUGGCGCCGAUGGUGGGGGGCGCCGCUCCUGGAAAGACGCGCUGCUGCGUCACGGGCGCACACCGUCGCAGCAGCCGCAGGCGCCGGUGCCCGUGCGCCGCCACCGUAGCUGCUCCCCGGCACCUAGGCGCCACCACAUGGCUGCCCACGGUCGACGCGCGGGUGACAAGAGGCCGUCUGCGAGCAAUGCCAAGCGGAGCCAGCGCUGCCACCCUUCCCCACGCUCUCCGCGGGCGGCGGCAGGCUCGGAACCGACGCAGAACGACAUCUGCAGCGACAAAGGAAAAGAUCCAGUUGAAGACUUCUUCAGAGAAGCCAAGCGACCCAUCCUCGCCUCGAUGAUCGUCGACAACGCGGCGGCGGACGUCCAAGCCGCGGCGGACGCCGUGGUCGCGGCCCCCCUGGACUUCGACAACAACAUGCACACGGGGGGAGCCGCGACUGAGGCUCAGCUCGUCGCCUUCGGCCCCACGCUCGCCUCCCCCUCCCAAGCAUCGGGCCAGUUCAACAGAUGCGCCCCCACGCAAGCCUGCACGCUGGAGAUGCAGCUUGGCGCGGUCACCUACCACGUCUGCCAGCUCGAGAUCGCCAACGACAACAAAGACAACCACCCCCAGAUCACCCGCCGCCUGUUCGUCGACGCCCCAGCACCGAUCAUCGCCAACGCCCCCCCACGCCGCCCCUCUGCUCCACCCAAGGCGCGCGCGCCUUCAGUGCCCACCAGACAGAGAGCUCGUCAGGCUGCGAGCAACUGCAAGACGCCGGUCUCCCAGCGCGCCUCCCUUCGCAUCGUAAAGGAGCUUGGGCUACUCGGGCCAAAGGACAAGAUGACCAAGGAGGUGGCCGAUGCGCUCAUCCGCCGUUUCGAUGAGCCCCUCACCGACAACGACAUUGCCGUCAUCGCCAAGCUGACGCGUCUCGACAAGGAUUCUCCCCUCAUCGCUGCAGGUCUUGCGGGACCUGAUGGAGCCGCCAAUGUGGCCUCAGUUUAG
rnacentral:rRNA from 1 species